rnacentral:rRNA from 1 species
CAGUCGCCGCGGGAAUACAGAGGGUGCAAGCGUUAAUCGGAUUUACUGGGCGUAAAGCGUGCGUAGGCGGCUUUUUAAGUCGGAUGUGAAAUCCCUGAGCUUAACUUAGGAAUUGCAUUCGAUACUGGGAAGCUAGAGUAUGGGAGAGGAUGGUAGAAUUCCAGGUGUAGCGGUGAAAUGCGUAGAGAUCUGGAGGAAUACCGAUGGCGAAGGCAGCCAUCUGGCCUAAUACUGACGCUGAGGUACGAAAGCAUGGGGAGCAAACAGGAUUAGAUACCCCCGUAGUCCCUGUCUCUUAUAC